CCGCUUACACACUCCCACCUACCACGAAACCCUCAACUACUCGAAAAUCAACUGCGCUCGCGAAAUUUUUUGCUCCUCAUCAGAUCACUUGAUAUGCUUCAGCAUAAACAAAUCUAUAGAAAUCCCUAUGAGCCCACUUUUCUCUCAUCCCUUAAAAGAAUCUGUCAAUAAAUGAAAAUUUUGAUUGUUAUAGUUUUCCCAAUUCAAUUUUCCAAACAAAUUGAAACCGCAGGAGAAAUCUACAUCGUUAGUGGGUGAGGGUUUUGGAUGCACACCGUUCUUUGGAUUGUUCGAGUAAUUGGUUCAAUAUCUAUGCAAAGCAGUUCUGUCAGGUUCUCAAGAAGAACAACCAGUUCUUGAUCACAUUGAAAUUUGAGAAAAUGAUGAAGACUGUGCUUCUCGGUGUGAGCGGAUCAAAUUGACAAAAGGUUUCGUAGCUAAGGCGCUAGUGAAAGGGCACAUGGCGAGUUCUUCUGUCGAAAGUUGAACAUCAUUAUUUUGUUUAUAAUAAACUUGUAUACUAUGGAAAUUAUUGUGUUAGUCCUUAAAGUUUUGAAUAUGUUUCAGAUACAAAGCUGUAACUAAGCUGUAACCUGGCAGGUAAAUGUCGUUAAAGGCCUGAAGUUGUAUGAAAACUUAUUUAAUGAUCAAGAGCUUUUCAAGUUGAAUGAUUUCGUGGAUGAGCUCCCAGUUGCUGGACAAAAUGGAGAAAUCUUAGCUUCAACGGCACUAGUCAUUCUACAGGACAAUAUAAGGAUUCACCUGUUUGUGUUUUGGAAUCAGGGUAUGUUUACCACCAUGACCCAUCAUCUGUACUCACUAAUCAAAGUGGCAGUGCUCCAUCAUCACCCUGGAGUUUUGGGUCUAUGCCAGUUGUCAAUUCAGCAAAUAUGGGAAGAGAUGAUGCAACAUUAGCAAUGUCGAUGACUCCAUCAACAAUGAGAGUGGAAGCACUUGGCCUACAGUUCGUACUAUGGACCAGAAACACACUAAAAGCUGGUCAGAGUUUGCUCAGGGUUACAGUUUUAUAGAAGUGUCUUCGACCCCAAUGCACGUGAUCACCUGCAGAGGUUAAAGAUUCAUUUUCAGAAAGUACGUUACCUUUAUUAUAAUUAUUGUUUUUUUUUUGCUUUUUCUUUUGCCAAGUGAAAUAUCUUUAAGAUCAUUUAUCUUAUAUCUUAGUUAUUAGACAAAAUGGUAGUUUAUGCACAAUAACAUCCGGACCCUUUCUGACAGCGGGAAGAUCAAUAGUCAAUAAAGGAGAAACAUAAAAUCUCAGAAUCUCUUGUUGCAUCUGCAUAGGAAAAUCAAUUAAAUGUAUACCUCCUUCAGAAUAAAACUUGUCAAAUCUGGGGAAGAAUAUACUAACACGCCAACAAGUUGGCGAUUACAUCUAUAUUUGAACCAAAACAACACAUGAAAAACAAAACAGACCACCCAUACUCUAUUAAUGUUAUGUAUUUUCUUUAAAACUCUCACUGAUGUACUCUUGCUCUACUCUUUACAAUAUAUUGUAAUUCAGUAAUCAGA